ensembl:lncRNA
GGAAGAUGAAAUUCAGAUUCCCUUACAGAAAUGCAAGCUAAAAUUCUUGCAAAAAUGCAAAAAUACACAGAGACAGACAACGGGAUAUAACACGAGUAAUCACUGGCGGUUUUCUUACAAGAUGGAGGAACCUGAUUUAAUGUUAAAGUUCCAUUCGAUACAACUUGUGGAGUUUCUUCUCAAUAGGCCUGAUGGUGAACCCUAAGAAGCUGCCAUGUUAGAGCUGCUGCAGGCCCCGGUUCUGUGGGAAUAGCAAAAUGAACGCCAUUACACCUGACAGCAUAUUCAGUUCCUCAGACAUCAUUGUGACAGACCUGGUCCCAUGAUCGGCCUAAUAAUUAAAGCUAUCCUGCAACCGGCGCCGUACUGCUGUGCUGCAUGCGCAUCAGGGGCCCAUGACAUGAUACAGAGGGACAGCUUAACUAUUAAAUAUCCAUCACGCCACGCCACAUCAGUCCUAAUGCAAUCAGAAACACAUGACUACAUCGCCCGGGCCCCCACUUCAAUCCACAAUGAUUAAAUGACAGUUCGAUUUGAUUGGGAAGAGGGGGGAUCUACUGUAGCUGCGCAGACUUAUUCGAGGCUUUGUGUACUUCAGAGAGAACGCACGUGGGCUGUGGUCUUUUUGCUGUAUUAUCAUUUUAAUGAAGCAGGGUAUUUCUUUUGUGGUCGGGAGGCUCUAAUGCAGUUGUCCAAGACUCCCCUUUCAUCUGUCUUCUUCAAAUGCUCGAGGUUGUUAAACAAAUGGAUGUGUCUGAGUAUAUAACGCUGAUGUGGCCAGGCUGUUGUUGACUGGGCCAAUUAGGGCUCAGAGAGAAAAGAAUAAGGCAUGUCUGUUCACUCACUCAAACCGUCAUACAAUACAGUCUGGCUGCUUUGUGUUUAUUAAAAUCACCUGGAUCCUUAAGGAUUUUGUAGAACACACCGUAGUAUGACAUUGCUAUCUGACGAUUUUCAUUAUCAGGACUUCCUGUACUGUUUUUAUCUUGCUAAUUAGCAUCUAAUUAUAAUAAAAAUGUUUUCCUCCUACCUGAUAUGUCAUGAAUUACCCGAUACCGUUGUCUCCGUGUUUAAAUGAGUGAGCAUCUUUAGAAAAAUGUUUAAUUUUAC